GUGAAUCAUCAAAUUUUUGAACGCAAAUUGCACUCUCUUCGGUGAGUAUGACUGUUUGAGGGUCAGCCUCUAUAAAUCGCCAUCGUUGCUGUUUCGUGGUGGCGUUCGUCGGUAAUUUGGUCAUCUUAAAUUUCUUUGAUUUUAGCGACUUAAAAUUUUCUUUUGGUUCCAUGAACGCUUUUUUGAUCUAUUUCUUUAUACGUUUAAGGUAUCGAUUUUUACUAGACGUGACUUUCAUAUCGGAUCGCGUCCAUCAUCUUUCAUUAACU
rnacentral:misc_RNA from 1 species